CAGCAGCAGCAGCAAGGCCAAGAAGGCAGCGGCUGGGAGCAAGAAGUUGAAGAAGGCAGCCAAGCCCAGUGUCCCCAAGGUGCCCAAGGGCUGCAAGAAGCUUUGGAGUCAGGAAGAUAACACACAGAACUCAUGAUGGUGAUUUGACUUUAUUAGAGGAAACACAAAAAGGUCUUGUCCACAACCAGCAAGUCUCCAGGGCAUGAAGCAAAGCACAGACCUCAGUCCAAAGUAGAACAUAUUGCACUUGAGUAUGAGCAAGACUGAAAGGCCAAAUUAAGCUCAAGAUUUUAAGGUAGGUCCAGAAUAUUCUACUAUUCUGUGACAUGGGGCAAGGGACAAAUAGGAGGCUGCUAGUUACUAUUGUAAAGGCCUUUAUCCCCUCCCUCUCCCCCAUAAGAGUCAAAGGAUCGAUCUGAGCUGUUUCUUGGCUUUGGUGUACCCCUCCCAAAAGGAAAACUAAGGUUAUAUUAGCUUCUAGUGAAGCUACAAAAUUUUAUUAAUCUGUUCAAUGCCUGGCACAGAGGGAGCAUCAAUUACACUACUGAACAUAUGACUUUGGGAGGUGACUAUGUAAACCCAGAAACCAAGUCCAGGCUUCCUUUCUGCACAAACAACCUGAAUUCCCACCUUCCCUAUCUCCUUGGGCACUCACCACUGCCUCAGGCUGCCAGUCUUCAUCAUCAUCAGAUCUGCCUUCCAGUUUCCUUCUGGCCAGCUGACUGGGAGCUAAGCUCCUCCUCUGUAAGGGGAGAGUGGAAAUGGAUCCUCAGCCUGAGCCCAUUAAACCUAGACAGAAUUCCUGUCUCCCCUAGGUUCACACUUACCAUCCUGGGGCCCAAACGUCAAGUAUCCAUCAGCCAAAGGUGAAAGGCACUCAGCAACAGAGAAUGCAGGACGAGGGCUUGAUGUAGGUGGAACUGCUAUAUUAUUCAGAAUAUGGACUAAUUAAAAAGGGGGCAUGGAUGGAGGGGACCCAGCCAGGAGUAGGAGUUUGAGUCCAAAAUGCGAGAAUGUUGAUCGUCAGUUAGCCGAGUCCAGAGAGUAGACCAAAGAGGAAGUGUCAAGGCAGAGUCGGGUAUAAAUCUAGGAUGGGGAGGAUACAGGGGGGUCCCAGAAUGGGCAGAGUGAAGUCAGGAUAAUGGUCUCGGUUAAGAGAGGAGAUCCAUGCGAGGUGGGGGCGGUAACCAAGGUCCACAAGAAAGAAGCUGGGGUUAAAGUCCGAGGCCUAGGAAGGGCGAGGAGCCUGCAUCCGGAGGAGGGGGAUUUCCCGGGGCUGGAGUGCGGAUAGCGUACUGGAUCGAGGGAGGUCGAGCAAGGAUCCCAGAAGGACCAAUAAAAACCCAAACUGGGAACGGAAUCCCAGAAGGGGCUGAAAAGAGAGGCAGAGAUGGAUUCCAGGACACUCAAUUCCCAUUAACCUUCCUCUUCUCCAAGCGCGCGUUAACAGCCGCCAGGCUGGGUCAAUCGAACCUCCCGCCAUGCAGCCGCUCCUUCACUCAUUCGCUGCGUUCGAUGUGUUCGGCAGUCUCCCCCCAAGGAAGGGGCGGGGCUAGUGAUGUGGUAGAAGCUCAGCUGCAUUGGAGGCUCAACCGACCACUUGGGAGGUGGGGCUAGGGGAAGCGAACGCCCCCGGCUCAGCCUACUGGCUGACCUUCGACUUUGGCCCCUGGCGUUUUGUUCUACCAUUGAACUGGCAAUGCUGCAACUUAAAGGACGAUUUGCGAUGUACUGGGCCUCGGAGGAAUUACCACCUAGGGUAGACGCCUAAGGUUUAGGAAAGGCGAGUUUGGGUCGGGUUCAGGAACUGAUAGCAACCUUCAAGUGCCGGACCUGAAAGGAGGCCUGGGUUUGAAGUCUUGUUGGCUCAUCUAGCACGGAGUGUUCAGCCUGGGCUCUAUGUGACGGGCUGGAGCUGUGGGAUGUGACCAUCUCACGUGUGAAUGUCUUGAAAGAAGCUGCCUUCUCCUAGAAUGGAAGCGUCUUUAAUCACCCAAUUUCUCAAAACUUCAGUUUCUUCAUAUUUGAAAUGGUAUUAUAGUAAUAGUACCCAGUAGUGCAAUUGCUGGAUUGCAUGGUAGUUUCAUGUUUUGGUUUUGGGGUGUUUUGUUUUGUUUGGGGUUUUUUAUUAUUAUUGGUUUUGUGGCACUUGAGCAUUGAACCCAGCGGCGCUCUACCACUAAGCAACAUCCCCAGUCCUUGUUUGAGACAGUGUCUUCCUAAAUUGCUGAGACUAGCCUCAGAUUUGACAUUUUCCUGCCCCAGCGUCUAGUGUCUGUGGCAUUACGGUCGUCGGCCACUGCGUUCUACCGCUGAGCCACAACCCCAGCCCCAUUUUUUGUUUGUUUUUAAGAAACUGGACAAAUUGUAUUUCAGAAUGUACCACUCUACGUUCCUGUCAACAAUGUUUGUGCGAUCCAGUGUCUCUGCAUCCUCAUGGGUUUAGUGUUACUUUCUUAUUUUAGCUAUUCUGGUAUAUGAAAAGUGAUAUCUAAUUGUGAUUGUGAUUUAAUUUGCAUUUCCCUAAUAUAUAUAUAUAUAUAUUAUUUAGUUAGUUUAUAUGGAUAUAAUACCUUUAUUUAUUUAUCUUUAGUUGGUGCUGAGGAUCAAACCCAGGGCCUCACACAAGCUAGGCAAGCCCUCUCUACCUCUGAGCUACAAUCCCAGCCCCAUUUCCCUAAUUUCUAAUGACACCGAACAUCUUUUCAUAGGCUUAUUUGAUAUCUGUAGAUUCUUAAUAAAAAUGUCUCUUUUUGCCA